rnacentral:rRNA from 1 species
AGAGUUUGAUCCUGGCUCAGAGUGAACGCUGGCGGUAGGCCUAACACAUGCAAGUCGAACGGCAGCACAGUAAGAGCUUGCUCUUAUGGGUGGCGAGUGGCGGACGGGUGAGGAAUACAUCGGAAUCUACCUUUUCGUGGGGGAUAACGUAGGGAAACUUACGCUAAUACCGCAUACGACCUUCGGGUGAAAGCAGGGGACCUUCGGGCCUUGCGCGGAUAGAUGAGCCGAUGUCGGAUUAGCUAGUUGGCGGGGUAAAGGCCCACCAAGGCGACGAUCCGUAGCUGGUCUGAGAGGAUGAUCAGCCACACUGGAACUGAGACACGGUCCAGACUCCUACGGGAGGCAGCAGUGGGGAAUAUUGGACAAUGGGCGCAAGCCUGAUCCAGCCAUACCGCGUGGGUGAAGAAGGCCUUCGGGUUGUAAAGCCCUUUUGUUGGGAAAGAAAAGCAGUCGAUUAAUACUCGGUUGUUCUGACGGUACCCAAAGAAUAAGCACCGGCUAACUUCGUGCCAGCAGCCGCGGUAAU